rnacentral:sRNA from 1 species
GAAGAAUCUCCUUUUCAACUGGGUUGUGAACACAGGUUUUCGGAUGGCUUGCAUGACACUGGGAAGACUCACCGCUGACCUUCGCAAGCGGGGUCCGUGGUUAAGUCGCACUGAGAAAUUCGCAGUUUCCGGUGACAGAUAAAGGAAAAAACCUCGGGAGCUGCGCGGUGAUUUUCGGCGGAUUUUCUCGGGUGUUUGCCGCGGUUUGCGAGGUGUCU